rnacentral:lncRNA from 1 species
GCAAGCCCAAGGUCCUGAGUUCAACUCCUGGUACCGGAAAACAAACAAACAAACAAAAAAAAGACACUACUGAGAUGACAGAUACGUUCAUUUGCUUGGUUGUAGUAAUCACCUCAUCGUGUACAUCAAAAUACCAUAUUGUGCACCUUAAAUUUAUACAAGAGAAAAAGCACAAGAAAGGUAAAAGAACGGGAGACCUCUAGCACCGCCCCCCCCGGCCCCGCCCCGCGAGAGCACCCCACCAAAGACUUAGUUAACUGACAUCACAGGGGACUGUGCCAGGCUCAGGGGACCCACGAAUAAGGAGAAGCCAGCCUGUGCCCAGGAGCCGGCUCGCGGUGAGGGGUGGGGGUGGGGGGAUGAAGAUGGGAGGAGUGGGGGGUGGAGGUUGCGGGGAAGGGCUGCAGGCUCUGCCAUCUUCAUCCAGGCCAAAGGUGUAGGAGGCCACGAAUGCAAAGCAGUGAGGACGUAAAGGAGGAGGUGAGCGUCUGCUUGGGCAGCCAGGGAGGGCACACUGCCUGCUGUGACUCCAGGUGUGUGCAGGAGGGAGAGCUUUGCCAGACCCGGAAGAGGACGUACAGACGUACCCUCAAGGUCACCAGCUCCCUCCCCAGCCCUGGAAUCCCCUUUAUGAGCUCAGCCUCCUGCCGCACCUCUGCUGCCCCUGCUCCUACUCAGCCUGCCGGGAGCCUCCAGUGACCUUCAGGCUCUGGCCGCAUUCCAGUGCUCCCCGCCACGCGGCCAUGCGGGGGCCCAGGGACAGCCACGUACCCCCAGGCCUCAGGUUUUCAGUCCCCCUGGAAGUGACUCAGGGCCUCAGGGUUGUGCGUUUGGGGUGAAGGCCAGAUGAGGGGAGAAGCAGAAGAGGUGGAAGAAAGCGCUCCAGUGCCCCUUGCAGCCCCUCCAUGUGACUGCUGCAGAAAGAGCCACUGGAGAUAUCCAAGUCCCCAAGAUGCCCCAGCGGCUCCUCCCAACUCGCAGGCACCCGUGCCGCAGGACCGUGUGCUGAGAAAGGAAUCCAGCAAGAAUCUGGAAACCACAGACAAAGACAAACUGCAGUUUAAGAACCCGUGGCCAAAAGUGCAAAGUCACAAAGCCACAAUAAUGGAUUUGCAGGGCAAAGAGAAGACAGGACUGGGAUUCUGAUGCGAGGCAAGUGGAGAAAUGGGCAGAAAGAGACUCCAUAGAUGCUCCUAAAUCAGCAGCCACAAAGUCAGCCCUCCCGAUUUCAAUAGCAGAUUUUUUUUAAGAAUAAAAUUAAACGAGUG